AUUUUGAUUCGUGCGGGGGUUGUCCGGGUUCAGAGCUGAACCCGGACAUACCCUUAUUUUCUCCCAGGCAGCCCCCCUGAGCCUAGCAUCGGAGGAUCUCAUGCUUCGAUGCACUCCCUUGCACUGCGCUAAAUCGCACAGGGCA